UCGCGGCGGUGCGCGCAGAAGGGUCUGGGCUCGAGCCUGCCUGGAGCCGCCGCCGGUGCAGAUCUUGGUGGUAGUAGCAAAUACUCCAGCGAGGCCCUGGAGGACUGAUGUGGAGAAGGGUUUCGUGUGAACAGCCGUUGCACACGAGUCAGUCGAUCCUAAGCCCUAGGAGAAAUCCGAUGCAAACGGCGAUGGGAAACAGAACUGAACUCGAAAUAAUGAGACAGAGACCCAUUGAACGGGCGAAAGGGAAUCCGGUUCCUAUUCCGGAACCCGGCAGCGGAACCGUUGUUUGUCGGGCCCUCGCAAGGGGUUCGUCAGGGCAACCUAAAAGGGCCCGGAGACGCCGUCGGGGGCCCCGGAAAGAGUUUUCUUUUCUGCAUGAGCGUUCGAGUUCCCUGGAAUCCUCUCGCAGGGAGAUAGGGUUUGGAACGCGAAGAGCACCGCAGUUGCGGCGGUGCACGGGAAUUCCCGACGGACCUUGAAAAUCCGGGAGAGGGCCACGUGGAGGUGUCGCGCCNGCUCGUACCCAUAUCCGCAGCAGGUCUCCAAGGUGAAGAGCCUCUAGUC
rnacentral:rRNA from 1 species